CCCACUUUGGAAACAUAUAAAUUAGGAACAGCUCAACUUUCAGUCAAGGUCUCUUCUGACAAAAUGAAGACUGCCAGCUUCUUCCUCCUCGCAUUGCUUCUCUUCCUGGUGACAGAAGCCACUGGGAAGAAAACCAAACAAAAAUUCUCACAGUCUGAAGAAACGGCCAGCGAGAGCUAUGGAACAGGCUCGGGGGAGAGGAGGUUUGCAUUAGGUUCUCCGACAUCAUACUCCCUUGACAAGGCGGAUAUCUCUUUCAGUGACCACAGAGCCUCCUCCAGUGAGGAAAGCUAUGAGGAAUCAAGUCAUAAAAAAAGUAAAAUUAGCUCUGGCGAUUACAGUGGUUCUAAUGCAGAAGGUGAGAGUUCAUUUGUAAAGAGAAGGAAGAGCCAGUUUUCUCAAGACCUGUCUUAAAUAAUACAUUCACUGACCAGCAGAGGGUCUGGACCAAUAUGAUGGAGUCAAACCACCUAGACGAAGCCUGGGAUGUCUUCAUGCAACUCCCAUGUGGUCCCCGAGGCAGUCCACGGACGACGCUUCCCUCACACUUGCUUGUCUUGAGAAUCCUAAAUCUCACAUUCGUUAUGAUACUUUCUUUCCAAUAAAAAUAUAACAUUCUGCAU